CUCGUUCGAUCACCGAAGUUAAGCAUCGUAGAACUAGAUCAGUACUUAGAUGGGGUGCCGCUUGGGAACACCU